AUCAGAGGGCAAGCUGCAAAGAUGCCAAAGAAAAAUAUACAAGAAUUACCAGAAGAACAUUUUUGACAUAUGGGAAGCGUACAAAGAUGGCCAGCUACAGCCUCAAGAGUUACUGCGCCGUGUCUCCCAGUAUCACCAUCCUCAAAUUAGGUCAGCAGAUGAAAAUAUGGAAAAUUAAUGAAUUUUUUAAGUGUAGGCUAUAUAUAAGCUAUCUUUUAAUAAAUGUGCAAUAAAUAUUUUAUCCAUGUGUUACCUGAAUAAUGACAAAUAAAGUCCUGUAAACCGUUAAUCCUAAUGUUUAUUUUAUUUUAGCUAUCCUAAUUUAGCCACGUCUGGUUUAUAUCUUUAUUAUUGUACAAUAAAAUAUUUUAAACACAUGCUAUCUGAAUAAUGGUAAAUAGUAUAUGAAUAAUUAUGUAACGUGAAUGGACCGUCGAAUCGCCCAAGAUUAUUCGACUGGAAAAUAUCCACACCGUCGAUUCGUCCAAGACAGACCGUCGAAUUGUACUUCCGUCGAAACGUCCUGUAUUCCUGCCUGACACCCUUGCACCCUGGCAGGUGAGUGGCCCAGGUGAGCUGCCUGACACCCUUGCACCCUGGCAGGUGAGUGGCCCAGGUGAGCUGCCUGACACCCUUGCACCCUGGCAGGUGAGUGGCCCAGGUGAGCUGCCUGACACCCUUGCACCCUGGCAGGUGAGUGGCCCAGGUGAGCUGCCUGACACCCUUGCACCCUGGCAGGUGAGUGGCCCAGGUGAGCUGCCUGACACCCUUGCACCCUGGCAGGUGAGUGGCCCAGGUGAGCUGCCUGACACCCUUGCACCCUGGCAGGUGAGUGGCCCAGGUGAGCUGCCUGACACCCUUGCACCCUGGCAGGUGAGUGGCCCAGGUGAGCUGCCUGACACCCUUGCACCCUGGCAGGUGAGUGGCCCAGGUGAGCUGCCUGACACCCUUGCACCCUGGCAGGUGAGUGGCCCAGGUGAGCUGCCUGACACCCUUGCACCCUGGCAGGUGAGUGGCCCAGGUGAGCUGCCUGACACCCUUGCACCCUGGCAGGUGAGUGGCCCAGGUGAGCUGCCUGACACCCUUGCACCCUGGCAGGUGAGUGGCCCAGGUGAGCUGCCUGACACCCUUGCACCCUGGCAGGUGAGUGGCCCAGGUGAGCUGCCUGACACCCUUGCACCCUGGCAGGUGAGUGGCCCAGGUGAGCUGCCUGACACCC